GUGGGGAAUAUUGGACAAUGGGGGGAACCCUGAUCCAGCCAUGCCGCGUGUGUGAAGAAGGCCUUUUGGUUGUAAAGCACUUUAAGCGAGGAGGAGGCUACCGAGAUUAAUACUCUUGGAUAGUGGACGUUACUCGCAGAAUAAGCACCGGCUAACUCUGUGCCAGCAGCCGCGGUAAUACAGAGGGUGCAAGCGUUAAUCGGAUUUACUGGUCGUAAAGCGCGCGUAGGUGGCCAAUUAAGUCAAAUGUGAAAUCCCCGAGCUUAACUUGGGAAUUGCAUUCGAUACUGGUUGGCUAGAGUAUGGGAGAGGAUGGUAGAAUUCCAUGUGUAGCGGUGAAAUGCGUAGAGAUCUGGAGGAAUACCGAUGGCGAAGGCAGCCAUCUGGCCUAAUACUGACACUGAGGUGCGAAAGCAUGGGGAGCAAACAGGAUUAGAAACCCCAGUAGUCC
rnacentral:rRNA from 1 species